rnacentral:rRNA from 1 species
GAUGAACGCUAGCGGCAGGCCUAAUACAUGCAAGACGAACGGUAAGUUGAGUAGCAAUACUUAGCCAAGAGUGUCGUACGGGUGCGUAACACGUAUGCAACCUACCCUAUACAGGAGGAUAGCCUAGGGAAACCUGGAUUAACCCUUCAUAGUAUUAUUGGAUGGCAUCAUUUGAUAAUUAAAACUGAGGUGGUAUAGGAUGGGCAUGCGUCUGAUUAGUUAGUUGGCGGGGUAAUGGUCCACCAAGACGAUGAUCAGUAGGGGUUCUGAGAGGAAGAUCCCCCCACACUGGCACUGAGAUACGGGCC